GGGGGUAUAAGCUCAAUGGUAGAGCACUUGCCUAGCAUGCGUGGGACCUUGGGUUCCACCCUCAGUACCACCA
rfam:Heterocephalus glaber contig153430, whole genome shotgun sequence.